rnacentral:lncRNA from 1 species
UCCAGACCCCUCGUGCUUUACCUCCUCCCUGCAUCUGCUCCGUGCCAGGCUGCAGUGGACUCUGGACCCCAAACGUGCUGGCUGCUUGCACGACACCGUGGCGCGUAUGCUCAUUUUGGCUGGGAACAUCCCUCGGGCAGAAUAGUAUCAGUGCUCUGGAAUCUCCGAUAAAACCCAUGAAGCACAACGAAGAGAGGAGAGGAAAAACAGGCAGAAGGAAAAGUACCCCUGGCAAAGAACAAGGACACUUGUAAAUGAGACAUUAUCCUUGGAGAUUUUCUUGGCUGAAAAUGUGAGUAAUUAAAAAUGUAAACAAAUAUUAUCCAUUACAUAUGCCACAAUAAUAAAU